CAUCGCCCUUUCUGCGGGCGCGGGGCAGCGGGAGCGGAGGUUCCGUUGUGCCUCUGAGGGACCGGGACUGGAUCCUGAACCGGCCUCGGCCUCUCCCGGCGGGGCCAGCGGGACGCCCUGCGUCCCUCAGGCGCAGGAAGCCGGUGCAGGUGGAGGCGGCUCCACCGCUGCGCCUUCCCCCGCCAUGUUGUGGCGCGGCUCCCUCAGGGCCGGUGCCGCUUCCCGCCGGCCCCGGCCCCGAGCGGCUGCGGCGGGAGGACACGAGCGAGCCUGGCAGUGGACAAAACAAUGAAGUGACCAGGAUGGUGUGACUUCAGGAAUGAAGGGUGAUCCUGCAGGAAAGGGCUGCCCAAGCAAGCUUCAGCCACCUUGCUCAGUAGGCAGCCCUGAGCCCAGGCACACCAGAGGAGCCCUGCCCAGGUGAGCUGCAGUGCUGGGAGCUGCCAGCUCCUGUUGCAGAUUAUGCCUUGAGCUGCAGAAUGUCUGACAAACUGAGAACUGGUUGGCAGCAUCCACGUCUGAUGGCUUGGAGAUUCCUAAAACUUGAUCAUCUGUGUUUUCUCUACAUGGUUAAGAAGGAUUUAAAUAAAAAAAAAACCAAAAACCUAAAUAAAGAUGCCACCUACAAGA